rnacentral:rRNA from 1 species
CCUACGGGAGACAGCAGUAGGGAAUCUUUCACAAUGGGCGAAAGCCUGAUGGAGCAACGCCGCGUGCAGGAUGAAGGCCUUCGGGUUGUAAACUGCUUUUAUAAGCGAGAAAUAUGAUGGUAACUUAUGAAUAAGGAUCGGCUAACUACGUGCCAGCAGCCGCGGUCAUACGUAGGAUCCGAGCAUUAUCCGGAGUGACUGGGUGUAAAGAGUUGCGUAGGUGGCAUAAUAAGUAGCUAGUGAAAUCUGGUGGCUCAACCAUUCAGACUAUUAGCUAAACUGUUAAGCUCGAGACCGUUAGGGGUAACUGGAAUUUCUAGUGUAGGGGUGAAAUCCGUAGAUAUUAGAAGGAACACCAAUAGCGUAGGCAGGUUGCUGGGACGGUUCUGACACUAAGGCACGAAAGCGUAGGGAGCAAACGGGAUUAGAUACCCGAGUAGUC